CUACGGGAGGCAGCAGUGAGGAAUAUUGGUCAAUGGGCGCAAGCCUGAACCAGCCAUCCCGCGUGAAGGAAGAAGGCGCUAUGCGUCGUAAACUUCUUUUGCAGGUCAAGAAUGUUAUCUACGAGUAGGUAAUUGACGGUAACCUGUGAAUAAGCAUCGGCUAACUCCGUGCCAGCAGCCGCGGUAAUACGGAGGAUGCGAGCGUUAUCCGGAUUUAUUGGGUUUAAAGGGUGCGUAGGCGGAAUAAUAAGUCAGUGGUGAAAUCCUGCAGCUUAACUGUAGCAUUGCCGUUGAUACUGUUAAUCUUGAGUAUGGUUAAGGUAGGCGGAAUGUGUAAUGUAGCGGUGAAAUGCUUAGAUAUUACACAGAACACCGAUUGCGAAGGCAGCUUACUGAACCAUAACUGACGCUGAGGCACGAAAGCGUGGGGAGCGAACAGGAUUAGAUACCCCGGUAGA
rnacentral:rRNA from 1 species